rnacentral:rRNA from 1 species
AUGCAAGUCGAACGAGCGAGAGAGAGCUUGCUUUCUCGAGCGAGUGGCGAACGGGUGAGUAACGCGUGAGGAGCCUGCCUCAAAGAGGGGGACAACAGUUGGAAACGACUGCUAAUACCGCAUAAGCCCACAGGUCGGCAUCGACCAGAGGGAAAAGGAGCAAUCCGCUUUGAGAUGGCCUCGCGUCCGAUUAGCUAGUUGGUGAGGUAACGGCCCACCAAGGCAACGAUCGGUAGCCGGACUGAGAGGUUGAACGGCCACAUUGGGACUGAGACACGGCCCAGACUCCUACGGGAGGCAGCAGUGGGGAAUAUUGCACAAUGGGGGAAACCCUGAUGCAGCGACGCCGCGUGGAGGAAGAAGGUCUUCGGAUUGUAAAUUCCUGUUGUUGAGGAAGAUAAUGACGGUACUCAACAAGGAAGUGACGGCUAACUACGUGCCAGCAGCCGCGGUAAAACGUAGGUCACAAGCGUUGUCCGGAAUUACUGGGUGUAAAGGGAGCGCAGGCGGGAAGACAAGUUGGAAGUGAAAUCUAUGGGCUCAACCCAUAAACUGCUUUCAAAACUGUUUUUCUUGAGUAGUGCAGAGGUAGGCGGAAUUCCCGGUGUAGCGGUGGAAUGCGUAGAUAUCGGGAGGAACACCAGUGGCGAAGGCGGCCUACUGGGCACCAACUGACGCUGAGGCUCGAAAGUGUGGGUAGCAAACAGGAUUAGAUACCCUGGUAGUCCACACCGUAAACGAUGAUUACUAGGUGUUGGAGGAUUGACCCCUUCAGUGCCGCAGUUAACACAAUAAGUAAUCCACCUGGGGAGUACGACCGCAAGGUUGAAACUCAAAGGAAUUGACGGGGGCCCGCACAAGCAGUGGAGUAUGUGGUUUAAUUCGACGC